AUCUGGCCUGCUCCUCCUCCAGCGCUGCCUGCUUUUCUCUUUCAUCCACUUUGGUGAACGACAUGCCAGUGUUGGCCAGAGAUGACACAGCAUUGGAGAGUGUGCUCGCCCUACAAAAAAAUUCAGGGAGAGAUAUAUUGGGCUUCUCAAAAUGCAUCCUUUAGAAGUCAAUCAAUUGUAUUCAGUUGUGAGCGAGACGCAUGAAUGGCCCACCUGCUGGCGGCGGUGGAGUCCUUCACCUUCUUUCCUUCUAAUGAAGCCAAGUGUUGCUCCAGGGCAUCCAAAAGACUGCUGGGGGCCUGAGAGGAACCACAAACAUUUACUUAACCCCGACCAAUUCCAAAAAACAGUAAGCAUGUCAACUUAUAUUUGAAAUAAGAGUUAAAACAGUGCAGAGGAGUGCAGAAAAGAGUGAGAAAAGUACUUACACAGACUGUAAACUGAAGGUGGACAGAAGGUGGAAAGAUAAAGGGAAAUACAGAAUAUAAAGGUGGUUUUGGUCAGACAUAUAAUGCUUAAAGCGAGUAAAAAGCAGCUAUUUGCUAUGAUGUAUGGGUGUGAUAGUAUCAUUUGUGCUGAAUAUAUAAGCUUAACAUUUG
rnacentral:lncRNA from 1 species